ACCGGUUUGCGUUUUCAGUCUGCCUUUAUUUGUCAUGGAUUAAACUACAAUACGAGCAAGAGAUAACGAUCGCGUGUAAAAUGUAAAACGUUAUAAUAUUUGGUAUAGUGCUUAGUGGUGUAAUUAAUCAAUAAAGCCAGAGAAACGCCUAUCAUAAAAGAGGGCGUGCGCAGCGCGAGGAGGGGACCGCCGCGCCGGCCGAGGAGGCAGUCAGUCAGUUUGUUACCGGCUUGUGUUGAGGAGGGAACCCGCCGAGAGGACACCUUGUCGCGAACAGGCACAACUCCCGACCCUCCCGUGUGCAAUGGGCAAAAAAGGGAGGAAGACGAGGUGGAGAAAACUACCCAUUCCCAUCGGAGAAGGUAUGUAUCCCGAGUUCUUGUUGUGUGAGUAAAUAUUUUUUUUUUAAUUUUGAACAAAAGCCAUUUCUUUACUUUGAACCGUUGCAGAAUAAAUGAACGGAUGAAUUGUGUAUCCUUGGCUUAAAUAUAGCCGCUUUCAAAAACGAAUCGUACAGAAAUAAAUAUA